UGGCCCUUCACUAAAACAAGGCGCAGCCAUUCGGCCUUUUCUUUUCUUCUUCCUAGGGAGGCAGGGCCUCUUCUUCUCAUUUUUCCUCUUUUGAUUUUUCGUAUAAAAAUCAUGAUCUAUGAAGAUCUAACCGUUCAAUUUCAAAUCCGACUUCGGUAACGUGAUCUACGAAACCCGAUCUACGUUUCUACCGAUCGGUUUGAGGAUUUGUUGUGUGGAGCUUACUAAACACUCUCCAAGUGUUGGAUUUACGUUUGGUGGAAUUUUUGUAAUGCAUUGCAUGGUGGUGUCUAGGAGACCUAGUGCUUAAUAUCCGCGCAGCCAAGAUGUUCCUUUGGCUGCAGGUAUUCCGGUCCUAGUUGAGGGUGUUGUAGAUGUGCACUUGGGAUAUUAUGACCGAAGCUCGCCGCGACAGUCGUAAUUGCAGGACCACAGCUGUCCACUAUUUUAUAGGUUUUGUUUAUGACUUGUGACGCUUGGAUCACUUGUCAUUGUAUAAGCCAUUCCUGUUAUUUAAUUAUUAUGUUGAUAAGAUUUAAACAUAUAGAUGUUAAAUGGCUCUAUAUUGUAAAUAACUUGUAAUAGAUGUAUAAGCUAUGCUUUUCGCUAUUCAA